UUCUGCAUCAUGGUCUUUCAAGAACUCACAGCACUUGGCAUAAGCGUCGCCGAAGGCUUUUGAUACAUGGACGCGCUGUCCCGAGAAACUGUUAGAAUGUUCUAUGGCGUCUUCUCCGGCGCACAUCAAGGACUUUCUCAUGCUGUGUGGUACCGUAGAGCGGUCGCAUGCAACUCGAUUCAAAUAGCCAAGACAUCCACAACGUAAGAGCGCGAGAGAAGACGACUGCUCGGAAACGAUUUUUUUUUUUCUCUCUUAAAGAUAUUGUGUAUGCAAGCUAUUUUUAAAUUUUUGCUGAUGAAAGUUCGCUUCAAGUGGGUGCGCUUCACCUCUGCUUCGUGCACGUGCUGAAGGCGCUGCAAUCAAAGCAUCGACACAAAUUGGAUCCUUAAGAAAUUAAAAAAAAUGCAUAAUUAUGCGAUCUGCCAAAAAAAAACAGCAUUUAAUAUUUCUAUUUGAUUGGAAUAUGCGUCGAGUUUUCUGCCUGCUGAUGCUUCUGGCUUGUAUUCAUGCAAUAGCCUAUGCUAAUUCUGAAUUGGAUGCUACAGAUCCAUGCGUGGAAGUCUACAAGUCAACAGACUUUCCGGGGGUACUACUUCUAGAUCAGACCUUAAAAACUACUUCCGAGCAAACCAAAAUUUGUGUUAAAUGGUAUCACGAUAAAGAGCGAACAAAGAGCAGUAUCCUUCAUUUGUACAAAGAAAAUUCGUCUAUAACAACAACGUCCUGUCCAACUAUUGGUACUAUCUGGAAAAUCUCAAUGUUAACAUCAUUCAUUGUAUCUACUAUAUUUUCCAUUACCUUGAUUGUGGUUUACUCUAUCAAAAAAAGGUAUAGGGAACACUUGAAAAUAUAUGAAAGGGCAGAUAUGUAGAUCAAGUAAUUUGAAAAGAAAUUUUCAAUAAAGUCGAACUUGCGCCGCUAUUCUUGAUUUAACUACGUAUUGCAAGCAGAAAUUUUUUCUGUUCACGGAUUUCAGUCAUCUGAAGCACUCAGGACGCUACGAUCAGAAGGAUCUUCAACCGGAGGAAUGUAGUCGUGAUAUGUAUUGUUUUUCAGCAUAUCAAAAAUGUAUUUGUCUGGUCCCGUUUUCCAAUUUUUACUGGU